GUUAUUCAAAUUUAUUCUUUUCUCGGGGUUUCAUGUGUUGUAAUUCUGAGGAAGGAGUAACAAGCAGAAAAUGCCUGUUUUGGUUUCCUUGAGUCAGCAUGUGCCAUAGUAAUUAUUAUAGAUGAAGCGUUUCAUGGCUCAUUUCAAAGUGUGUAACAGUUGAUACAGCACUCCAGUCUCCGCAUGACUACACCUCUAUUACUUUUGCAUGAAAAUUUUCAAUUAUUAGCCAUCUUUCUCUUCCUACAUAGAGAUUUGCAUAUUUUAUUGGUUCUUGGAGUAUAUUCGAGUCUUCAGACCCUGGAUUUCGGUGGAGCAGCUCAUUAAAGAUUUGCUAGAGCCUAGAGCUGAUUGGAAGCAUACGAGAUAUAAAUAAAUAUACAAGAAUUCGUGAAUAUGUGGUGCGUAAAAAAAUAAUUGUAGCA
rnacentral:misc_RNA from 1 species